rnacentral:rRNA from 1 species
UCGGACGCGAACCCAGUCAAGGGGACUACCCGCUGAGUUUA